UACCUUGCGCCCGUUAUCGGUCCCCGGUAUUACCUACCGGGGUUAAAAGGGAACCCGGUGUAAAUCCGGGGCUGUCCCGCAGCUGUAAAAGGCUUCACGUAUGUGAAACGGCUUGUACUACAAUGCCACUGUUCUUCCGGAAAUUAUGCGAAGAAUGGGAAGGUGAACAAGCCGGGCCUUAAGCCAGAAGACCUGCCAUAACAAUAUAUUUCGC
rnacentral:ncRNA from 1 species